UACGUAGGGAGCUAGCGUUGUCCGGAAUCAUUGGGCGUAAAGCGCGCGUAGGCGGCCCGGUAAGUCCGCUGUGAAAGUCAAAGGCUCAACCUUUGAAUGUCAGCGGAUACUGCCCGGGGCUAGAGUCCCGGAAGAGGCGAGUGGAACUCCUGGUGUAGCGGUGGAAUGCGCAGAUAUCAGGAAGAACACCAACGGCGAAGGCAGCUCGCUGGGACGGAACUGACGCUAAGGCGCGAAAGCGUGGGGAGCGAACAGG
rnacentral:rRNA from 1 species